rnacentral:rRNA from 1 species
GGUCCUGGCUCAGAUUGAACGCUGGCGGCAUGCCUUACACAUGCAAGUCGAACGGUAACAGGUCUUCGGACGCUGACGAGUGGCGAACGGGUGAGUAAUACAUCGGAACGUGCCCAGUCGUGGGGGAUAACUACUCGAAAGAGUAGUUAAUACCGCAUACGAUCUGAGGAUGAAAGCGGGGGACCCUCGGGCCUCGCGCGAUUGGAGCGGCCGAUGGCAGAUUAGGUAGUUGGUGGGAUAAAAGCUU